ensembl:lncRNA
GUCUUCCUCUGAUUCACAGGGGAAAUAAGCCUGUCUCUGGUGUGUGUGUGUGUUUUAGAUGUGUGUGUGUUUGUGUGUGUGUGUUUUAGGUGUGUGUGUGUGUGUGUUUCAGCAGUGUGUGUGUGUGUUUUAGGUGUGUGUGUGUGUGUGUGUGUUUCAGCAGUGUGUGUGUGUGUGUGUGUGUGUGUGUGUUCUUCUAUUUUGACUGAUUGACUAAAGCCUCUUGUGUGUUUACGUUUAGCUCCUCGCCACUGUGAUGUCCCAGUCAAUAAAGGCAAAGGAGCAUCUGUUGGAGCAGUCAGCAGCUGCAGCUAAGAGUCCAUCUUGUUGUCCCCCUCAAGAGCAACGCUCCUUUGAUCGUAAGGCAGAGGCAGACGUGAAGGUGAGGUCUGUAUGUCUGCGUGUGUGUGUGUCCGGGCGUGUGUGUGUGUGUGUGUAUAUGCUUGUCUGUGUGUGUGGUGUGUGUCGUUUUGUGUGUGUGUGUGUGUGUGUGUGUGUGUGUUGCUGUUUCAGUUGAUUGUUUUUGCUUCCUGAAGCUUCCUUCCAUCAUUCAGGGGCUUGGAAUGUAUUUCUGUUGCUGGGCGGAUAUCUAGGGAGGUGAAGGAUAUCUAGGGAGGUGAAGGAUAUCUAGGGAGGUGAAGGAUAUCUAGGGAGGUGAAGGAUAUCUAGGGAGGUGAAGGAUAUCUAGGGAGGUGAAGGAUAUCUAGAGAGGUGAAGGAUAUCUAGGGAGGAGGAGGAUAUCUAGGGAGGUGAAGGAUAUCUAGGGAGGAGGAGGAUAUCUAGGGAGGUGUAGGAUAUCUAGAGAGGUGAAGGAUAUCUAGGGAGGAGGUGAAGGAUAUCUAGGGAGGAGGUGAAGGAUAUCUAGGGAGGUGAAGGAUAUCUAGGGAGGAGGAGGAUAUCUAGGGAGGUGUAGGAUAUCUAGAGAGGUGAAGGAUAUCUAGGGAGGAGGUGAAGGAUAUCUAGGGAGGUGUAGGAUAUCUAGGGAGGAGGUGAAGGAUAUCUAGGGAGGAGGAGGAUAUCUAGGGAGGUGAAGGAUAUCUAGGGAGGUGAAGGAUAUCUAGGGAGGUGAAGGAUAUCUAGGGAGGUGAAGGAUAUCUAGAGAGGUGAAGGAUAUCUAGGGAGGUGAAGGAUAUCUAGGGAGGUGAAGGAUAUCUAGGAGGAGGUGAAGGAUAUCUAGGGAGGUGAAGGAUAUCUAGGGAGGUGAAGGAUAUCUAGGGAGGUAAAGGAUAUCUAGGGAGGUGAAGGAUAUCUAGGGAGGUGAAGGAUAUCUAGGGAGGUGAAGGAUAUCUAGGGAGGAGGUGAAGGAUAUCUAGGGAGGUGAAGGAUAUCUAGGGAGGUGAAGGAUAUCUAGGGAGGAAGUGAAGGAUAUCUAAGGAGGUAAAGGAUAUCUAGGGAGGUGAAGGAUAUCUAGGGAGGUGAAGGAUAUCUAGGGUGGAGGUGAAGGAUGUCUAGGGAGGUGAAGGAUAUCUAGGGAGGUGAAGGAUAUCUAGGGAGGAGAUGAAAGAUAUCUAGGGAGGUGAAGGAUAUCUAGGGAGGUGGUGAAGGAUAUCUAGGGAGGUGAAGGAUAUCUAGAGAGGUGAAGGAUAUCUAGGGAGGUGAAGGAUAUCUAGGGAGGUAAAGGAUAUCUA